rnacentral:rRNA from 1 species
GCAAGCGUUAUCCGGUUUUAUUGGGUUUAAAGGGUGCGUAGGCGGCUUAUUAAGUCAGUUGUGAAUCCUAGUGCUUAACGCUAGAACUGCAAUUGAUACUACUAGGCUUGAGUUAAGAAGAGGUAGGCAGAAUUUAUGGUGUAGUAGUGAAAUGCUUAAAUAUCAUAAGGAAUACCAAUAGCGUAGGCAGCUUACUGGUCUUUAACUGACGCUGAGGCACGAAAGCGUGGGGAGCAAACAGGAUUACAUACCCUGGUAGUCCACGCUGUAAACAAUGAUCACUCGAUAUACAUGAUGCUUCAUGUGUGUCUAAGCGAAAGCGUU